rnacentral:lncRNA from 1 species
AAGGGACAGGUGACACAGGGGACAGGGGGACAGGGGACAGGGGACACGGGGACAGGUGACACAGGGGACACGGGGACAGGGACACAGGUCAGCUGUUUCUCACCUGAUGUUCCUCACCUGUCCAGGUGUGUUCCUCACCUCCCCCAGCUGUGUGUCUCACCUGUCCAGGUGUUCCUCACCUCCCCCAGCUGUGUGUCUCACCUGUCCAGGUGUUUCUCACCUCCCCCAGCUGUUCCUCACCUGUCCAGGUGUAUUUCUCACCCACCCCAGGUGUGUUUCUCACCUGUCCAGGUGUAUUUUUCACCUCCCCCGGGUGUGUUUCUCCCCUGUCCAGGUGUGUUCCUCACCCACCCCAGAUGUUCCUCACCUGUCCAGGUGUUUCUCACCCACCCCAGGUGUUCCUCACCAGUCCAGGUGUGUUUCCCACCCACCCCAGGUGUAUUAUUUCAUCUCCCCCAGAUGUUCCUCACCUCCCCCAGCUGUUUCCCACCCACUCCAGAUGUUUCUCACCUGUCCAGGUGUAUUUUUCACCUCCCCCAGGUGUUCCUCCCCUGUCCAGAUGUUCCUCACCUCCCCCAGAUGUUCCUCCCCUGUCCAGGUGUAUUUCUCACCUGUCCAGGUGUAUUUCUCACCCACCCCAGAUGUUCCUCACCUGUCCAGGUGUAUUCCUCACCUCCCCCAGACGUUCCUCACCUGUCCAGGUGUUUCUCACCUCCCCCAGACGUUCCUCACCUGUCCAGAUGUUCCUCACCUCCUCCAGGUGUUCCUCACCUGUCCAGGUGUUCCUCACCUGUCCAGGUGUUCCUCACCCACCCCAGAUGUUCCUCACCUGUCCAGAUGUUCCUCACCCACCCCAGGUGUGUUCCUCCCCUGUCCAGGUGUAUUUCUCACCUGUCCAGGUGUAUUUUUCACCUCCCCUAGGUGUUCCUCACCUGUCCAGGUGUUCCUCACCUCCCCCAGAUGUUUCUCACCUGUCCAGCUGUUCCUCACCUGCAGCUGGAAGGCCAGCUCGGCCGUGGCCCGGCAGGCACUGCACACCUGUCCAGAUGUUUCUCACCCACCCCAGACGUUCCUCACCUGUCCAGAUGUUCCUCACCUGUCCAGGUGUGUUUCUCACCCACCCCAGGUGUGUUCCUCCCCUGUCCAGGUGUAUUUCUCACCUCCCCCAGAUGUUCCUCACCUGUCCAGGUGUUUCUCACCUCCCCCAGGUGUUCCUCACCUGUCCAGAUGUUCCUCACCUCCCCCAGAUGUUCCUCACCUGUCCAGCUGUUCCUCACCUGCAGCUGGAAGGCCAGCUCGGCCGUGGCCCGGCAGGCACUGCACACCUGUCCAG